GGUCGCGUGGCGUAAUGGAUAACGCGUCUGACUUCGGAUCAAAAGAAUGCAUGUUCGGUCUUGCUGCGGUCG
rnacentral:tRNA from 1 species